UACAGGAGGUCUCAAGCGUUGUUCGGAUUCAUUGGCGUAAAGGGUGCGUAGGCGGCGCGGUAAGUCGGGUGUGAAUCUCGGAGCUUAACUCCGAAUGCAUUCGAUACUGCCGUGCUUGAGGACUGGAGAGGAGACUGGAAUUCGAUGGAUGUAGCAGUGAAAUGACGUGAGAGAGUCAUGAGGAAGACCAGUGGCGAAGGCGGGUCUCUGGACAGCUUCCUGCAGCUGAGAACACGAAGGCCAGGGAGCAAACGGG
rnacentral:rRNA from 1 species